UCCGUAGGGUUGACCUGCGGAAGGAUCAU
rnacentral:rRNA from 1 species